rnacentral:rRNA from 1 species
GAUGAACGCUGGCGGCGUGCCUAAUAAAUGCAAGUCGAGCGAACAGAUGAGGAGCUUGCUCCACUGACGUUAGCGGCGGACGGGUGAGUAACACGUGGAUAACCUACCUAUAAGACUGGGAUAACUUCGGGAAACCGGCGCUAAUACCGGAUAAUAUAUUGAACCGCAUGGUUCAAUAGUGAAAGACGGUUUUGCUGUCACUUAUAGAUGGAUCCGCGCCGCAUUAGCUAGUUGGUAAGGUAACGGCUUACCAAGGCAACGAUGCGUAGCCGACCUGAGAGGGUGAUCGGCCACACAGGUAGUGAGACGCUGACCAGACUCCUACGGGAGGCAGCAGUAGAGAAUCUGCCGCAAUGGGCGAAAGCCUGAGGGAGCAACACCGCGUGAGUGAUGAUGGUCUUCCGAUCGUAAAACGCUGUUAUUGGGGAAGAUCUAAUGUGUAAUUAACUAUGCACGUCUUGACGGUACCUAAUCAGAAAGCCACGGCUAACUACGUG